GUAGGUGGCAAGCGUUGUCCGGAAUUAUUGGGCGUAAAGCGCGCGCAGGCGGUUCUUUAAGUCUGAUGUGAAAGCCCACGGCUCAACCGUGGAGGGUCAUAGGAAACUGGGGAACUUGAGUACAGAAGAGGAAAGCGGAAUUCCACGUGUAGCGGUGAAAUGCGUAGAGAUGUGGAGGAACACCAGUGGCGAAGGCGGCUUUCUGGUCUGUAACUGACGCUGAGGCGCGAAAGCGUGGGGAGCAAACAGGGAUUAGAUACCCUGGUAGUCCACGCCGUAAACGAUGAGUGCUAAGUGUUAGGGGGUUUCCGCCCCCUUAGUGCUGCAGCUAACGCAUUAAGCACUCCGCCUGGGGAGUACGCCGCAAGGCUG
rnacentral:rRNA from 1 species